rnacentral:rRNA from 2 species
GGGCGUUAAGUUGCAGGGUAUAGACCCGAAACCCGGUGAUCUAGCCAUGGGCAGGUUGAAGGUUGGGUAACACUAACUGGAGGACCGAACCGACUAAUGUUGAAAAAUUAGCGGAUGACCUGUGGCUGGGGGUGAAAGGCCAAUCAAACCGGGAGAUAGCUGGUUCUCCCCGAAAGCUAUUUAGGUAGCGCCUCGUGAAUUCAUCUCCGGGGGUAGAGCACUGUUUCGGCUAGGGGGCCAUCCCGGCUUACCAACCCGAUGCAAACUGCGAAUACCGGAGAAUGUUAUCACGGGAGACACACGGCGGGUGCUAACGUCCGUCGUGAAGAGGGAAACAACCCAGACCGCCAGCUAAGGUCCCAAAGUCAUGGUUAAGUGGGAAACGAUGUGGGAAGGCCCAGACAGCCAGGAUGUUGGCUUAGAAGCAGCCAUCAUUUAAAGAAAGCGUAAUAGCUCACUGGUCGAGUCGGCCUGCGCGGAAGAUGUAACGGGGCUAAACCAUGCACCGAAGCUGCGGCAGCGACGCUGAUACGUUCGUUGGGUAGGGGAGCGUUCUGUAAGCCUGUGAAGGUGUGUCGUGAGGCAUGCUGGAGGUAUCAGAAGUGCGAAUGCUGACAUAAGUAACGAUAAAGCGGGUGAAAAGCCCGCUCGCCGGAAGACCAAGGGUUCCUGUCCAACGUUAAUCGGGGCAGGGUGAGUCGACCCCUAAGGCGAGGCCGAAAGGCGUAGUCGAUGGGAAACGGGUUAAUAUUCCCGUACUUGGUGUUACUGCGAAGGGGGGACGGAGAAGGCUAUGUUGGCCGGGCGACGGUUGUCCCGGUUUAAGCGUGUAGGUGUGUGUUCCAGGUAAAUCCGGUUCACUUUAACACUGAGGCGUGACGACGAGGCACUACGGUGCUGAAGCAACAAAUGCCCUGCUUCCAGGAAAAGCCUCUAAGCAUCAGGUAACAUCAAAUCGUACCCCAAACCGACACAGGUGGUCAGGUAGAGAAUACCAAGGCGCUUGAGAGAACUCGGGUGAAGGAACUAGGCAAAAUGGUGCCGUAACUUCGGGAGAAGGCACGCUGACACGUAGGUGAAGUGAUUUACUCAUGGAGCUGAAGUCAGUCGAAGAUACCAGCUGGCUGCAACUGUUUAUUAAAAACACAGCACUGUGCAAACACGAAAGUGGACGUAUACGGUGUGACGCCUGCCCGGUGCCGGAAGGUUAAUUGAUGGGGUCAGCGCAAGCGAAGCUCCUGAUCGAAGCCCCGGUAAACGGCGGCCGUAACUAUAACGGUCCUAAGGUAGCGAAAUUCCUUGUCGGGUAAGUUCCGACCUGCACGAAUGGCGUAAUGAUGGCCAGGCUGUCUCCACCCGAGACUCAGUGAAAUUGAACUCGCUGUGAAGAUGCAGUGUACCCGCGGCAAGACGGAAAGACCCCGUGAACCUUUACUAUAGCUUGACACUGAACAUUGAGCCUUGAUGUGUAGGAUAGGUGGGAGGCUUUGAAGUGUGGACGCCAGUCUGCAUGGAGCCGACCUUGAAAUACCACCCUUUAAUGUUUGAUGUUCUAACGUGGACCCGUAAUCCGGGUUGCGGACAGUGUCUGGUGGGUAGUUUGACUGGGGCGGUCUCCUCCUAAAGAGUAACGGAGGAGCACGAAGGUUGGCUAAUCCUGGUCGGACAUCAGGAGGUUAGUGCAAUGGCAUAAGCCAGCUUGACUGCGAGCGUGACGGCGCGAGCAGGUGCGAAAGCAGGUCAUAGUGAUCCGGUGGUUCUGAAUGGAAGGGCCAUCGCUCAACGGAUAAAAGGUACUCCGGGGAUAACAGGCUGAUACCGCCCAAGAGUUCAUAUCGACGGCGGUGUUUGGCACCUCGAUGUCGGCUCAUCACAUCCUGGGGCUGAAGUAGGUCCCAAGGGUAUGGCUGUUCGCCAUUUAAAGUGGUACGCGAGCUGGGUUUAGAACGUCGUGAGACAGUUCGGUCCCUAUCUGCCGUGGGCGCUGGAGAACUGAGGGGGGCUGCUCCUAGUACGAGAGGACCGGAGUGGACGCAUCACUGGUGUUCGGGUUGUCAUGCCAAUGGCACUGCCCGGUAGCUAAAUGCGGAAGAGAUAAGUGCUGAAAGCAUCUAAGCACGAAACUUGCCCCGAGAUGAGUUCUCCCUGAGACUU